GCCGCGUGUGUGAAGAAGGCCUUUUGGUUGUAAAGCACUUUAAGCGAGGAGGAGGCUACUGGUACUAAUACUACUGGAUAGUGGACGUUACUCGCAGAAUAAGCACCGGCUAACUCUGUGCCAGCAGCCGCGGUAAUACAGAGGGUGCGAGCGUUAAUCGGAUUUACUGGGCGUAAAGCGUGCGUAGGCGGCUGAUUAAGUCGGAUGUGAAAUCCCUGAGCUUAACUUAGGAAUUGCAUUCGAUACUGGUCAGCUAGAGUAUGGGAGAGGAUGGUAGAAUUCCAGGUGUAGCGGUGAAAUGCGUAGAGAUCUGGAGGAAUACCGAUGGCGAAGGCAGCCAUCUGGCCUAAUACUGACGCUGAGGUACGAAAGCAUGGGGAGCAAACAGGAUUAGAUACCCUGGUAGUCCAUGCCGUAAACGAUGUCUACUAGCCGUUGGGGCCUUUGAGGCUUUAGUGGCGCAGCUAACGCGAUAAGUAGACCGCCUGGGGAGUACGGUCGCAAGACUAAAACUCAAAUGAAUUGACGGGGGCCCGCACAAGCGGUGGAGCAUGUGGUUUAAUUCGAUGCAACGCGAAGAACCUUACCUGGUCUUGACAUAGUAAGAACUUUCCAGAGAUGGAUUGGUGCCUUCGGGAACUUACAUACAGGUGCUGCAUGGCUGUCGUCAGCUCGUGUCGUGAGAUGUUGGGUUAAGUCCCGCAACGAGCGCAACCCUUUUCCUUAUUUGCCAGCACUUCGGGUGGGAACUUUAAGGAUACUGCCAGUGACAAACUGGAGGAAGGCGGGGACGACGUCAAGUCAUCAUGGCCCUUACGACCAGGGCUACACACGUGCUACAAUGGUCGGUACAAAGGGUUGCUACCUAGCGAUAGGAUGCUAAUCUCAAAAAGCCGAUC
rnacentral:rRNA from 1 species